UCCCUGGUGGUCCAGUGGUUAGGACUCCACGCUUCCAAUGCAAGGUGGGCAGGUUCAAUCCCUGCUCAGGGAA